UUUCCGUAGGUGAACCUGCGGAAGGAUCAUUAAUUAUAUAAGGCCACAGAGCAAGCUUUCCGAAAGGAUCGAGCUUGCUGUGUGAACCCUACCUACCCUUGCUUUUUACGUACCCAUUGUUUCCUCGGCAGGCUUGCCUGCCAGUAGUACCCUCUUAAACCCUUUGUAAUUGCAGCCAGCGUCAGAAACAACGUAUCGUUACAACUUUCAACAACGGAUCUCUUGGUUCUG
rnacentral:misc_RNA from 1 species